rnacentral:misc_RNA from 1 species
CAAGAUGUGCUAAGAACGUGGUGCUGCGGGCCAAGGCAAGCUGACGGGCGACCUGUUGAUUGAUGUCUGAAGUGUGCUUGGUUGCCCAAGCUUGGCUAGCGCUCAAAACGUUAGUACGAUAUACAUUAAUAGGUUUGCAUCGAGGCAUGUUGGUUUCAUUUUUCUUCUUUGUUACUUUCGCAUCGUUCGGUGCAUUUUGAGGGUUGUUUUGGCUUUUGGUGGCUUGCCUGGCCUUAUGGUCGGGUGGGUCGCUACUAGUCGGGCGGCUUUCGGGAAUGUCGACCGGGAAGGUGCAUGAGUGGUGUUUGGUUUGUUACGGGUGGUUGGCUGUUUGCUUGCGCAACAACGUCCACGCGGCAUACCUCUUCAGUUUUGCAGCAAGACUCGGUUUGUCUUGAGCAUAUUGUGGGUUUCCUGUGUUGCAUACCUAACCGAUGGUAACGUGCGGGUUUUCAUGAUGUCAUUUUUCGUCAUGCGUCGCUCAUGCGGCGUGGGAUGAACAUGGAAGCGGUCUUUGUGAUCCACAUUGUUGUUGCAUUUGCAACGAUGAUGUGGCCUAUGAUGACUUGCUUGGUCUCUUGUAUACGGUGCCUAAUAUGGGCAUGGGUCUUAUAAGAUCCUCAAUCUGCCCUCGUUAAGCGUUCUCGCUUCUCCAAAACGAUUGUCUGCCAUGUCUUGGCUUGUCCUUGCAUGGUGGGCUACGUCGA